UGGCUUAAAAGAAAACUGAACCUCUUGUGCUUAUUGCAUUGUCCUAAAGGGCUAGAUAAUGACAUAUCUUUUCCUAGACCAACAAACAAACUGCAAUACUCCAGCUUUGAGGACUAAAUGGUCUACCCUUCAGGUGUUCGCAGUUCAACCGAAAGGUCAAGUCUUAAAAGGAAGCAGAGAGAUUACAUCAAAGAGUGCUGAAACGUGUUCUGCUCAAAUGCUGCCUUCUGAUGAAUAUACUCAUCUCCCGUUGGCUUCAGAAGGAGGUUCUAUGUGUAUUUGCAGGCAAAAUUUGGCACCUUUUGUAAAACACUUUGAGAGCAACAGCUGAGGAGAACUGUAAAGGAGUAAAGUAUAUCUUCCAGAAAGACAUCCGGUCUUGAUUUGAAGACUUCAGGAGACGGAGGAUCCACUGCUACUUUGUCCUGAUGGUUAAUAACCCUUGCAAUUAAAAGCCUUGUUUUAUUUUUUAUUUGAAUUUGCCUGGAUUUAACUUCCAGCCAUUGGUUUUUGUCAAGUCUUCUCUGCCUCAUUCAAGAUAUAUCUAACACCUAGUAUUUUUUCCUCUUGGAAGUUUUUAUGUCCCGUAACCAAAUCAUCACUUGGUAUUCUUUGGGAUAAACCAACUAGAUAAAAAUCCUUUAUGAUUUCACUGUAAAGCAGCCAUAGUUUUCAGCCCUCAAAUUAUGUUCUGACUCUUUUGUGCACUUUCUCCAAUUUUUCAUCAUCUUUUAAAAUACAGACACUGGAACUGGAUGAAAUAGUGUUUAUCUCAUCAAUUCUACAUAUUAAGAUAAAAUCACCUGCUCACUAUUCACCACACCCAUCUUCUUCCCUACAAGGACUUUAUCAGCCCUUA